UACGGGGGGGGCAAGCGUUGUUCGGAAUUACUGGGCGUAAAGGGCUCGUAGGUGGCCAACUAAGUCAUACGUGAAAUCCCUCAGCUUAACUGGGGAACUGCGUCUGAUACUGGAUGGCUUGAGUUUGGGAGAGGGAUGCGGAAUUCCAGGUGUAGCGGUGAAAUGCGUAGAUAUCGGGAGGAACACCAGUGGCGAAGGCGACUACCUGGCCUGUUUCUUGACGCUGAGGCGCGAAAGCUAAGGGGAGCAAACGGGG
rnacentral:rRNA from 1 species